rnacentral:rRNA from 1 species
GACGAACGCUGGCGGCGUGCUUAACACAUGCAAGUCGAACGAAGUGGCGGACGGGUGAGUAACGCGUAAUCAACCUGCCCUUCAGAGGGGGUAAACAGUGGGAAACGACUGCUAAUACCGCAUACGGAAGGAGGUGAUUGCGUGUGAUUAGCUCGUUGGGGGGGUAACGGCCCACCAAGGCGAUGGUCAGUAGCCGGGCUGGAAGGGUGAACGGCCAAAUUUGGACUGAGACACGGCCCAGACUCCUACGGGAGGCAGCAGUGGGGAAUCUUCCGAAAUGGACGAAAGUCUGACGAAGCAACGCCGCGGGAGUGAUGACGGCCUUCGGGUUGUAAAGCUCUGUUAAUCGGGACGCGGUACCGGAAUAGAAAGCCACGGCUAACUACGUGCCAGCAGCCGCGGUAAUUC